CUCCCACCGCAGCCUCCCAAGUAGCUGGAACCACAGGCACACGCCACAACGCCUGGCUAAUUUUUGUAUUUUUUGUAGAGGCAGGGGUCUCACUGUGUUGCCCAGGCUGGUCUCGAACUCCUGGGCCCAAGAAAUCCACCCACCUCAGCCUGUCAAGAUGUUGGGAUUACAGGCUUGAGCCACCAUGCCUGGCCCAUAUGGCAAUUCUACGUUUACUUUUCUUAGGGACCGUGUUAAAUCUUUCACACAUCAUUAUUUGUUAUUUGCAACAACCCAACGAGGUGGGCAUAAUAUACUGGCCCCUUUUACAGAAGUUAAGUGAUUCCCCUAAGGUCUCACAAUUAGUAAGAUGCAGACAGGUUUCAAACCCAGAACUGUGUGUAACCGCUAAGUUAUGAGGCUUCUCUGAGCAUUUAUUGAGUACCAGCUAUGAGCCAGAAAACUCUAAGAAGUGGAUAAAAUGCCCAGAUAAAAGGCUGGGAAGACAGCCGGGCACAGUGGUGUGACCUGUAGUCCCAGCUACUCUGGGUCUGAGACAGGAGAAUUUCUUUUUUCUUUUCUUUUUUUUGAGAUGGAGUCUCGCUCUGUCGCCCAGGCUGGAGUGCAGUGGCUUGAUCUCGGCUCACUGCAACCUCCCCCUCGCCUCCUGAGUUUAAGCAAUUCUCCUGCUUCAGCCUCCUAAGUAGUUGGGAUUACAGGCACAUGCCACCACACCCGGCUGAUUUUUUUUUGUUUUUUUUUUUUUUGGUAGAGAUGGGGUUUCACCGUGUUAGCCAGGAUGGUUUCUAUCUCCUGACUUUGUGAUCCGCCCACCUUGGGCUCCCAAAGUCCUGGGAUUACAGGCGUGAGCCACCGCGCCAGGGC
rnacentral:lncRNA from 10 species